UACGGAGGGGGCUAGCGUUGUUCGGAAUUACUGGGCGUAAAGCGCGCGUAGGCGGCUUUGUAAGUUAGAGGUGAAAGCCCGGAGCUUAACUCCGGAACUGCCUUUAAGACUGCAUCGCUAGAAUCGUGGAGAGGUGAGUGGAAUUCCUGGUGUAGCGGUGAAAUGCGUAGAGAUGUGGAGGAACACCGAUGGCGAAGGCAGCCCCCUGGGUCAAGAUUGACGCUCAUGCACGAAAGCGUGGGGAGCAAACGAAGG
rnacentral:rRNA from 1 species